GUUUCCGCGCCCUUCGCCUUCCCUCCGGGGACACAACCCCGCAGGAUCAACGCGAAAACAAACAAAAAACAAACAAAAAAACAAACAAACAAAACAAAACCAAGGCUAGGAAGGCUUUCGGUGGGUCUGUGACGCAGGAAGAUCGCACAGCUCCCGAAGGCAGGCAGGUGUCAGCAGCUGGCGUGGUUUAUGGAAGCUUCCAGGCUGCUGUGGCCAAGUGGAGUUGAGCGCUGCUUUUACUUGCCGGUGCACCGUGUGGUGUGUUCAGUUUUCAAGGAAGAUGUGGUAGCAACCGUGUCUUCAUAACUGUUGAGAAGUGCUACAGAAGUGAGCGCUGUGGUGGGACCAAGUGAUGGCCAUCCUCUUGCUGCGGCUGCCACCACACAGGAUUCACCUCACAGCAGCAGCUCAGAAAGUGCUCCAGUGUUGAUUUUUGCCAUUUAGAAAUGAAGUUCUGAGACAAGCAGAAAUUAACUAAUUUCCUGGACUUGGGGGGGGAAAACCCUGAUUUUUUUGCUGGCAAAUAUCCACUGCGGGAGAAGAUGCCUGGAAUAUUUCUCUGCUGGAAUGUGGAAAUACUGUCUGAUCCUCUGCCAAGGUCCUGUGCCUGACGGAAGCCAGACAAGAAGCAGUCAGCAGCACUUGGCCUGUCCUGGACCUGGUCUGUCCCUGUAGCAGAGCUCUAGGAACUGGGAACUGCAGAGCCAAACUUGGGAAUACUGU